rnacentral:misc_RNA from 1 species
AAAAGGAGAGGUGGUAGUGCAGUUGAUGAAUGAGAGGUUGUGGAUAUAACCAAAGUGGGGGUGUGGUCAUUGUCUUAUCCUUAAUUCUUGGAAUUGAGAGGGAGCCAACAAAAAAGAGAGAUUGGUAGAAACCGCAAUCUUUCAAAUUUCUGUUUUAACAAACCCACAAGGGGAGAGAGGGGGUAGCACUGAGACUUCCUCACCGAUGGCAAGUUUAGUAGCAGUCCAGCAGCAAACUCAGCCCUCUUUAUCUAUCCUCCAUUCCUCUUUGUCUAACUUCAAUGGCACCAGACUUCACACUCAGCUCCAGUGUAAAAGAAAGGUAUGGCAAACAAGGGGAGCACUGCAGGUAACAGCAUCAAGUUCCAAGAAUAUUCUUAUAAUGGGAGGCACCCGAUUCAUUGGUGUGUUUUUAUCUAGACUUCUUGUCAAAGAAGGUCAUCAGGUAAGCCCAUCUCUUUGGAGUUCAACUCUUUGGCUUCGUGUGGUUUACUGAAUGGAAUAGUUAUUACAUGGUAAUUCUUUAUUUUGCAUUGCACAUUUAAAAUUUCAAACAAAAAAAUUGAGAUGUGGAGGAGCUUUUCCAUGAAAUAAUUACCCUACAUUUAAAAUUUGAACUAAAGCUAGGAAUCACAAUUGUAUUCCUAUCAUAUUCCAUUAACAAAAUCAAGCCUUCAUGUUUUGCAUUUCACCUAUUUUCUUGUUUCCAGCAAUCUUCACUUCGUGGGAUACUAUUCAAAACAUGUGAGAAACACCUAUAUAAAAUUAGUGGUAUAUUUGUAAUCUUUGAAGGUGACCUUGUUUACGAGGGGUAAGGCACCAAUUACCCAACAAUUGCCAGGUGAAUCAGACCAGGAUUUUGCUGAUUUUUCUUCCAAGGUAUUUUCACAAAUGCAUGAAAAUCAUUAUCCAUGAAGAAAUGCUUUUCUGAUUUUUUUUUUCUUCUAUGGUAGUUUUUUAAUCAGAUAAGGAUUUUGCAAUUGAACAUGAUUUGCUAGAUCUUACCUUCGGAAGGAGACGGGAAGGACUUUGAUUUUGUGAAAUCCAGUCUCUCAGCUAAAGGCUUUGAUGUUGUUUAUGAUCUAAAUGGACGUAAGGCAGAUGAAGUUCCACCAUUGGAUGCUCUACCAAAACUUGAACAGUAAGCUCUGAACAUUCUGUUGAUGAUAUUGCCUACAUUUCAUUCAGCUAUUCAUGUAUAUAACUUUUUCACAAGCAAUUCUUAUAUCCUCUUGUCUUAUUUCAGUCGAUUUGAAUUUCAUUAUCAGCGUGAUUCUUGUUGUAGUCGGCUUCAAUUCCUCCCAUUUGGAAAAUUUUCAUACAUCUCUUACAAAAAUAUGUUUUUUUUCUCACAUCCAAUUAGUUGACACAGUUUAUCAUUACUGGAAAUUAAGUAGAGCAAUUCAUAAUUGUAAUUUUCUUCACAGCAUUUCGGUUUCUCUACAUAAAAUCAGAGAUUAAAUUCAUAUGGAGUCAUAAAAUUGUAAAAAAUGCAUUUCCCCCUUUCUAUUUGAAAGUCAUGCAUAUGAAACUGUUGAAACCAUAAUUUACUAAGUUCAGAAAUGAGGAGAUGCCAGAUGUCUCUGUUCAACCUUUUUAUAAAUUGAAAAGAAGGUGCUAAUUUGAAGAUCUAUAGGCUAGAAGCCUAGAAUAUUGACUUGGUACAUGGAUAAGUGUAAUUGAAAAUUUUCAAAAUACAAUCAAUUUGUGCUAAAGACUUAGUUUUGAGACUGAACUCCUCAGACAAAGUAGUCCUUUGUGAGGAAAUGCGGACAGAUUGAUUGAAAUUCCAAAGAAGGAAGAAAAUACUAUGCUGUCAGUUUGGAAUUCAUCUUCUCUUGUUACAUAGGAAUCAUAGUAAACCAUAAGCUCUCUUACCUUUCUUUACUGCCAUCUUUGAAAAUCUAAAUAUCUUCAAAUUCUCAGGUAUAUAUAUUGCUCUUCGGCUGGAGUUUACCUCAAAUCUGAUCUUUUACCACACAGUGAGGUUGGCUUCAUAUCAUUCUUUUGUAAUGGGAAUUGGAUCCUCAUGCAAUAUAAUAAUCAAUACAGAUGAUGGCAUGUAUAACAUCUCAAAAACAUUAACCUCCUGUGAUCAGAGGUAAUAAGAGAGAUUCCAACACAAGCCUUGUAAGUUUUUCAAAGAUUGUACAAAGAUGAUUAAGGUUUCAUUUGGUAAACUUGCUUCUCUCUCUCUCUCUCUAUUGCAACAACGAAAAACAAAAGUGAGUGAGCAAAUCAAAUUUACCCAGUGAACCCUAAAGGGGCCUUGUCUAAAUUAUUAAAAAAAUUAUAGAACUUCAAUUUUGUAAAUUAGAUUGGAAUAUGAUCUGCGUCCUCUCUUUUAUUGAACUGUUCCAGGAAUAUCAUUGUUAAACAGUAUGUUUUCCUUACUAUUUUAUAAAAAGCUUCAAAUGGAUGAGAAUAUCCAUGGUUUAUGACAAGUUUUAAUCAUGCAAUAAAUUAUUAAACUUAAUUUGGAUUUAGUAGCUUAAUUUGCAUGUUCCAAGAUCAAAGUUUUCUCUACUCAUCUAAAACUUGGAAAGGAUAAGUUCUGUUAAAAUCUAUCUUAAAGAGUAAUUUUUGCUAAAAUACUCUCUCUUCUAGUUCUAAUUUGUUGUUGUCUGUUUAUAGACAGAUGCAGUUGAUCCAAAGAGCAGGCACAAGGGAAAGCUCGAGACAGAGAGUUUACUAGAAUCAAGAGGUGUUAACUGGACUUCUUUAAGGCCCGUCUAUAUCUAUGGGCCGUUAAACUACAAUCCUGUUGAAGAGUGGUUCUUUCACCGGUUGAAAGCAGGUCGCCCAAUUCCAAUUCCCAAUUCAGGAAUGCAAAUUACCCAACUUGGUCAUGUAAAGGAUUUGGCAGCAGCUUUUGUUCAAGUUCUUGGUAAUGAAAAAGCAACCAAGCAAGUAUUUAACAUAUCAGGAGAAAAGUACGUCACCUUUGAUGGAUUAGCAAGGGCAUGCGCAAAGGCUGCUGGUUUUCCAGAACCUGAUAUCAUUCACUACAACCCCAAGGAAUUUGAAUUUGGGAAAAAGAAGGCAUUUCCAUUCCGUGACCAGCAUUUCUUUGCAUCUGUUGACAAGGCAAAACAUGUGCUUGGAUGGAAACCUGAAUUUGACCUGGUGAAGGGCCUAGCUGAUUCUUACAAUCUUGACUUUGGUAGAGGAACAUACAGGAAAGAGGCUGAUUUCUCCACUGAUGACUUGAUUCUUGGUAAGAGUCUUGUUCUCCAGGCCUAGACCAUAAAGAGCCUUUUCUUUAGAUUUUUCCCUCUUUUUUUCAUUCAAGUAUGGUAGUAAUUUACCAAAUUCAAAGCAAUCACCACUUCAAUAGAAAUAUUUGGUAUCCAGAUGUUGUGCACAGGCUUUUGUAAAAAGAAUUUGCAUAGGUGAUCAACUAAACUGGAAUUGUGCUUGAACAAUUUGAACCUUGCCUUAUCUCAUGUAAUUAAUAUCCCAGCAGUCACUUUUCUUGCAGAAUAGCAUUAGCAGAGCAUAUUUAGUAUUUCCCAUGAAAACUUGAACUAUAGUUACUAUCAUAACAAAAUUGAAGAACAUGCAUGCAUAUGCCUAGCAUAAAACCAUGGCAGAUAUAUGUGGACCAAUUCCUAUCCAUUAAGCUGAGUCCAAUUUAAAAAAAAAAAAAAAAGUGUGAAUGCAGAAGCCAAUGAAGACCAUUCUUUCCCCACAUCUUAGGAAAUUUCACAUGACAGUAGCAGGUUCCAAUAGAAUACGGUUGCUGAUCAAUCAAGAAAGGUGCUAUAUUCAAUUCCUGCAGGGAUAAAAAAGGGCUAAAAGUUGAAACAUCAUCACUAGUAGUAGAUCAAAACUGAUGGAUUAGUUUGACAGAUGAAUCAGGAAUUCAUACCAACCAGACACAUAUAGCACAGAAGGCAGUUGCACAGUGGAAAUGAAAGCUUUAAUGGAUAAGUUUGAGAGAUGAAAGACUGGGUCCCUGGGAGAGAAGUAAACCCAAGUAUAAACUACAAGUCCAGAUCAUUCUGUUUUAAAGAAAUUUCCAACCUUUGAUGUCAUUAGUACUCUUACCUGCUUUGUUGCUUUAGGAAAAGGGAUUGGGACAUCACCAGGUGCGGAGCCAGGAUUUAAAGUCAAUUUAAAAGAAAAAAUAUUAUAUAUAAUAAUAAAUUAUUUAUUGAGAUAAAAAUUAUAAUGCAUAUAAAUUUUUAAUAUAUAAGAAAAAAUGAAAUAAUUUCAUAAAAAAAAUUAUAAAUAAAGUUAACAUAUAAAAUAUAGCCAAGCCAAUGUUUUUUUUUUUUU